GCCCGGGUGGCGAAACUGGUAUACGCAAGGGACUUAAAAUCCCUCGCCCGCGAGGGCUUGCGGGUUCGAGCCCCGCACCGGGUACCA
rnacentral:tRNA from 1 species